rnacentral:rRNA from 1 species
UACGAAGGGGGCUAGCGUUGCUCGGAAUCACUGGGCGUAAAGCGCACGUAGGCGGAUCUUUAAGUCAGGGGUGAAAUCCUGGAGCUCAACUCCAGAACUGCCUUUGAUACUGGGGAUCUCGAGUCCGGGAGAGGUGAGUGGAACUGCGAGUGUAGAGGUGAAAUUCGUAGAUAUUCGCAAGAACACCAGUGGCGAAGGCGGCUCACUGGCCCGGUACUGACGCUGAGGUGCGAAAGCGUGGGGAGCAAAUGGG